AUUCCUUCUUCUUAGGAGAAGCCACUCGGGACACCUUAUCUGAGGAUUCCUUCAAGGCCCCUGGCUUGGGUGAAGCUGCAGAGGGCUUGGACUUCCCAUCACCCUUCUUGACAGGUAUUACAGGAUCACUGGACGCACACAGGGCAAACGUCAGAGACGUUGGCUGGUAAAUAUUUCCAUACUGGUAAGUGAACAGCCUCUGUCCUGACCACUCCUACCAUUCCCUUCUCCCUCAACUCCCUACUCCGCUCCCCCCUGCCCCAAGCACCUCCCCCUCAGACCUCGCCACCAUCUGUUCUUGCCCAGCAGGGGAUCUUCAGAACUCUGCUCCACUUCUAAGACUAGUGACCAUCUGGAUGAUCAGUGCCUGUGUGGUUAUGAAAUACUCUGGAUACAACCCCUGGGUACUUGCCAUGCAAAAAUGCCCUUUAAAAAGUAACAAACUAUCACAGGGGAUGGCUCGGUGAGUCAUUUCACCACUGAUAUGAAAUGUUUUCUUUUAUUCCACUGGGCUGGGCAAAAAGGACUGAUGACACAUUAAAUGAAUUUUGAUAUAGUGCACAUGGGGUCAAUUUUUAGAAUUUGGUAGGUAGAGAAGAAAAAAGUUUGGUGGGGUUUUUUUUGCAUCUUGGAGACAGAAAGUUCUAGACUGCACAUUACUACAAAAAAUUACUGGUUCUGGCAUCAGUUCACACUAUGUAAAGCAUGAGUAGUUCAUCCAGCAGAUUCUCUGCAAAUACAGACACUCUGAAACCAAGACGGUCAGAGCAGUUGGAUAAUUAUGUGAGCAAGGAGCCAAAAUUUGUCCCCCAUUUGCUCUUGUUUGAAUCCAGGGUGAGAUCUUCUACUCUAUUACAACUCCUGUUCUUUUCAGGGCAAGCUGGGCAUGAGUGGCUAACAUCAAAUCUGGCUGAAAAGUUUUCAACACAUUGUUUAGUACUGCAGGAUGCGAAAUGCAGAAGAGCUAAUUGGGACCAAAACAGAGACUGUGACUUAAUGAAAAUGCUGUUUUCUUUCUCACUCCAUAUUAUGGCCCUAUGCCUAGUAGGUAGUGAGGGAGAAUCAUGCCAUAAACUCCAGUCUUCUUCCUUCAGUUAACAGCAAAGCUCGUAAAUCGGCUCAGCGUUGCCAGUGAAAAGAGCUCUGUGUCCUUAAUGGUAAAUGAUGAGGGCAAAGCAAAGAUUUCAUUUGGGCCAGGCAUCCCUGAGCCAGUGGGUCUAAACUCUUCCCUUCUAGUAUUGGAGUGGUUUUCUCUGUCUCAUACAACCUCCUGGAUACCAGCGUUCUGAGGCUACUAGUAUGAAUGUUUAGAAGGGUUAUAAAAUCUGAAUUUUCCAACGUUAGAUUGCAGUAGAAUAGCCAUUUUUGUUUUGUUAGCCUAUGUGUCCUACAUUUUAUGUGAAGGGUCACAAAACAACAAGUCUUUCUUUGACUUUGCUGUUUUCCUCUGACUUGAUGAUCUUCUAUAAAAGGGAUAAGAAUCAACUAUUUUGGAAGCUAAGAAAACUGAUAAACAGCAAAUGGUAGCCAUCCAUGGGGAGUCUUUGCUCAAAUUAUUUGCUGACCAAAGCAAACAUCAGCACCAACUAUGGUUUCCAAUAAUUAGCAUAGACCCACAUCACCAUCACUAUAGAACAGUUACAAUUGUCUCAGUCCUAAUUUUCACACAGAGCACAUGCAAACUAUUCAUGUUUUAUAACACAUUUUUGAGGAGAAAUCCAGGAUAACUCAAACUGCUGAGGCUUUAGUAGUGAAAUGCAAAAAUUAAGUUUAGUUCAUUUUAAUUUUUGAAAUUCUACCCUGAGGGGUGUGGCAGGUAAAGGUAUGAUCCAGCUGCGUGCAGGAGGUAUUCAGUCACUAGCUCUUUUUAUGUGACGUAGGUAAUCAUCAACAUCAAGGAGAAGGUAAAAGGACUUGUGGAAUACCUCCUUACUUUCCAUCUUUUCACCUCUACCCAGAGAGUUUCUAUGAAACGAAGGAAAUGACCCCCUCAAAGGAAACAAAGCUGUGCAGAAUUCUGAGGAAGUCAAGGGCCUUGAAAAACAGCAAAGAGGCUGGUGAAUGGAAAGCUAUGACGUACAAGAGAAAGCAGAAAACAAAAGUCAGCACUGCCAGACAGGUUUUUUUUUUCACAGAGGGAAAAUCCGGUUCCUUUGGAGAAGCAACAACGCACUGUGCAUGAGACAAGAACACAGUCUCAGGCGGGAGAGAACCCGUCAUGAAAGAGACAGAUGGAAAGGGUCCGGGAGGAGGAGGAAGAACAAGCGCUGCGGCCUUGGAGCAGCACAGCAGAAACAAAGCCCCGAUAUCCCCCCAGAACCGGCUUCCAGACCUGUGCCAGCACGUACACUGGAGAGACAGGGCCUCAAGGGCAAAGACCGGGUCUCACAAGUGCCCGCUCAACCAAGGGACAGGCGAGAGCAACAAGGAGGAGCCAACAAUGUGAGCAGUGACAAGGGGACCUGUGAGUAGGUCCUAGAUUCGGGACCUGAGGCUUCCUCUAAAAGGGUUGGCAAAUCAUCACCAUGAUAAAUGCUAGCUAGUAGAGCCCGUUAUACUAAAAGCUCCUGAAUAGGCAGAAACACGUCUUCUCUAUCUAUCUCUGUUACCUUUGUUUCCCCAGCACAUCAUCAGGCUCAGUCGAUGUUUGUUGAACCUCACUGAACUUGGCCAGUUAAAUACGUGCUGUCCUCCUGAAGUGGACACUUGGGAAGUGACCAGAGCCCACUAAUACUUCUCAAGCACACUGACUCUGCUACCCUCCCCUUGUUCUUACAAAGACGGGUGGGUGACAUGACCAGAAGGAAUAUUGUUUGGGGCAAAGAUAGUCCUUUUUGUUAAUUACCUUUUCUAAUUAGAUGCAGGCAUACUGGAAGAGGAAGGAAGAUAUAGGAAAUAAAUGACUUUACAGCAGAUAAUAUUAAUGAAAUAAGAUUGCAAUUUCUAAACCACAGCCUACUAACUACAUUUCCUUUUGUGGUUAGAUUACUUGCUUGGCUAAUGAGGAAAUACAGCAGACAGCGUAUCUGGGUUUUAGCAAGAUGUUUAACAGGAUCUCUGCACGGUGUGACAGUAGAACUGGGUGGUCCUAGCCAGCCAUAUAAAUUCUGCUGCUCCAUGUCAACCUGGAGGGAGGUCUGCGAUGGGCUCGUUUAUGUCCUGUUGGUAUUGACGUGAAUGAAAAUGGUGAAGGCACGCUUAUCAAAUCUGCGGACAGCAUGAAAACAGGAGACCUAGGCAUUGUGGGGCGGCAGAAUUAAGACAUCUAGGAAAGCCAUUGACAUUGGGAUGACGAUGACUAAGUCACCUCUAACAGAGGUAUGCUAAAGGGAUAAAUGUAAAGUCCAAUAAACCAGCUGGGAAAGCAGGAUUGGGAGAUGGGGCUUCUCAACAAUAUCCGUGGAAAAGACUCAGGGAUUUUAGUUGACAGUCAAGUGCAUUUAUCAUAAAGCUAAAGAAGUUCAAAUUUCCAGGCUCCUCAGUGGCCUGGUCCCCUCCCAAAGUCCUGUACUUAAUUGUGUAUUAAUAACUUUGUUUUCUUUUUCUUAAAGGGAACCGCCCCCCCAAACUGUGUUAAUUACAGAGCUUCUCAGAGCCUGCAUCCCUUCUUCACUGACAUUUAAUUGUGGAUGGUGAUGGUCAAAAGUUAGUUUUAGACUUAUUGAAUAGAAAAUUGUAUUGAAAACUGUAGAAGUCACUGACCCUCACACUCCUAACCUGGUCAGUGACCCCUGGAGUAUGGUGUCCAGUGUGAGUCAUAGCAUUUUAGAGAAACUGGACCAAAAACAAACUGAAAUUGCUCGCUCCUCCUCCUUGGCCUUAACCUCUAAACGCUAGACCUGGGCCCCCUUCUCUUCUAACACAUUCCUCCCUCUAGACUACUUCAUCUAUUUUCUAAUGUACUGAUGGCUUCCACAUUAAUGUCUCUAGCCCACUCUUAGUUCCCCGAGCUCUGGACUCCUAGAUCUAAUUGUCCGAUAACGCCAAGGCACUGAAACAUGGCCAAGAAUGAGCUCCUGAGUUUCCCCCAUCCCCACCCUACCCCCGUUUCCUGCCAAUGGACAGUGACCAGAGAAUGUAAGGAACUUUUAAUAUCUUGUUUCAUGGAGAACACUGAGUAGAUGAAAAUGAUUAAUCUGGAGGGGAAAAAAAUUGGCAGCACCGGUGAAGGGUGUUAAGACACUGUCAGGUGGAAAAGGGAUCACAUUCCUUCCAUGAAGAUACGAUGAGACAAAUGAGGAAAAACUUUCUAACAGAGAGAAUGAAAAAUGUCCCCAGGAGAUGGUGAUUUCACCAUCCUCAGAUUUCAGGGAGGGAUGGGUUAGCCAGAUGACUGUUCUAUCUGUAGGCUCUGGUUUUGUCGUUGACCUCCAAUGACUCACAAAAGCUGAAGCUCAAAAUGCACUGAUAAUUCUAUUUUUCAGUCCAUUUAUUUUUAGCUCUUCUUGUUAAAAAAAAAAAGUGUCAUUUUUGGUUUUGCCAAA